rnacentral:rRNA from 1 species
UCUUAGGUCUGGGCAAUUGGAAUGAAGAACAAUUUAAACCCCUUAUCGAGUAUCAAUUAGGAGGGCAAGUCUGNGUGCCAGCAGCCGCGGUAAUUCCAGCUCCAAUAGCGUAUAUUAAAGUUGUUGCAGUUAAAAAGCUCGUAGUUGGAUUUCUGGCAGGAGUGACCGGCCACACACACCGUGUGUGAGUUGUGCAUUCUGGCCAUCCUUGGUGAAAUCCUGUUUGGCAUUAAGUUGUCGGGCAGGGGAUAACCAUCGUUUACUGUGAAAAAAUUAGAGUGUUUAAAGCAGGCUUAUGCCGUUGAAUAUAUUAGCAUGGAAUAAUAAGAUAGGACUUUGAGUCUAUUUUGUUGGUUUGCGAGUCAAAGUAAUGAUUAAUAGGGACAGUUGGGGGUAUUCGUAUUUCAUUGUCAGAGGUGAAAUUCUUGGAUUUCUGAAAGACGAACUACUGCGAAAGCAUUUACCAAGGAUGUUUUCAUUAAUCAAGAACGAAAGUUAGGGGAUCGAAGAUGAUUAGAUACCAUCGUAGUCUUAACCAUAAACUAUGCCGACUCAGGAUU